GACGAACGCUGGCGGCGUGCUUAACACAUGCAAGUCGAGCGGAGCGGCGAACGGGUGAGGAACGCGUGAGUAACUGCCCCCCUCUCUGGGAUAACAGUUGGAAACGGCUGCUAAUGCCGGACAGUGGGGGAUGAAUCGCGUCCUAUCCGCUUGUUGGUGGGGUGGUUGCCUACCAAGGCGGUGACGGGUAGCCGGCCCGAGAGGGUGACCGGCCACAUUGGGCUGAGAUACGGCCCAGGCUUCUACGGGAGGGAGCAGUUGGGGAUAUUGCACAAUGGGCGAAAGCCUGAUGCAGCGACGCCGCGUGGGGGAUGAAGGCUUUCGGGUUGUAAACCUCUUUCGCUAUCGAAAGGGUAGGUGGAGAAGAAGCGCCGGCUAACUACGUGCCAGCCGCCGCGGUAAUAC
rnacentral:rRNA from 1 species